AUUGAACGCUGGCGGAAUGCUUUACACAUGCAAGUCGAACGGUAGAGGGGGCAACCCCUCGAGAGUGGCGAACGGGUGAGUAAUAUAUCGGAACGUGCCCAGUCGUGGGGGAUAACGUAGCGAAAGUUACGCUAAUACCGCAUACGACCUAAGGAUGAAAGCGGGGGAUCGCAAGACCUCGCGCGAUUGGAGCGGCCGAUAUCAGAUUAGGUAGUUGGUGGGGUAAAGGCUCACCAAGCCAACGAUCUGUAGCUGGCCUGAGAGGACGACCAGCCACACUGGAACUGAGACACGGUCCAGACUCCUACGGGAGGCAGCAGUGGGGAAUUUUGGACAAUGGACGCAAGUCUGAUCCAGCCAUUCCGCGUGCAGGAUGAAGGCCCUCGGGUUGUAAACUGCUUUUGUACGGAACGAAAAGGUCUCUCUUAAUACGGGGGGCUCAUGACGGUACCGUAAGAAUAAGCACCGGCUAACUACGUGCCAGCCGCCGCGGUAA
rnacentral:rRNA from 1 species